rnacentral:tRNA from 1 species
GGAGAGAUGGUAGAGUGGUCGAUUACAACGGUCUUGAAAACCGUCGUGCUGCGAGGCACCGGGGGUUCGAAUCCCUCUCUCUCCG